GCAAGAUCUGUGCACUUCUCUCAUAGUGUCCCCAUGCCAGAGCAAACUGUAGCCCAGAACCAUUGCCUGGCCUCUGCCUGUAGGCUGCUAGCACUGAAGUGGGUUGCACAGUA
rnacentral:snoRNA from 1 species